rnacentral:tRNA from 1 species
GGAGGGGUGUCCGAGUGGUCGAAGGAGCGCGCCUGGAAAGUGCGUAAGUCGAAAGGCUUCGAGGGUUCGAAUCCCUCCCCCUCCG